GCCGAGGUGGCGGAAUCGGUAGACGCGCCAGCUUGAGGGGCUGGUAUCCGUUUAGGAUGUGUGAGUUCAAGUCUCAUCCUCGGCACCA
rnacentral:tRNA from 1 species